ACCUCUUUCCGGUAUCGAAUCCCGCGUCGGACGACGUCCCGUUCGGGUGCCGGCUCCGGGCGGCAGAAGCUCGGCUCUGGUCGGCCCGCGGACUUGGUGCAGGGCCCGAGCCACGCGGCCUAUUCAUUUUCCAGCUCCACCCGUUCUAGAGCGCUUCUGAGAGCCACACGGAGCGGCCUUGUGGCUCCCGAGGCCCCCGGGUUGGCCAUUCCCGAUGUCCUGGGCAGGGCAGUUACCAGGGGGUUGGGCUAGGCCUCCCCCUGCUGAUUUUCCUUUCCCAAGGGCACCCAGCCCUGCCCCAGACCAGGCAGGGUCACAGGGGUGGGGAGUGCGGUUUUGGGGAAGGGUGUGGGCUACUGCAGAGGGGAGCUCCUAGAGCGCCUCCAAGGGGUGACAGGAGGGUGUCUGGUGUUUGUGCAUUGUCUCCUGGGCCCCAGGAAGCUCUUCUGCACAGGCUCCCAUCACCCAGUGGGGGGAGGGGUGCUAGGCAAUAGCCUCUCUGUGCACACCUUUCCCUUGGUGACCUCCACCUCAGGCCUGCGGGCUCUCUGUCCCCAGAGCCAGGCUUCCAGCAGUGACCAUGCCAGUGGAGGGCCACAGCUCCAGGCCGCCUCCCCUUCCCUGUCCGCCAGGCCCCAAGUGUGGCCGCUCUCUGCUCCUGGCCCUCCUCUCCUGCCCUCCACAGCCCUGCCCAAGGGGCCGCCCUCUCUGGCUCAGACCCCUGCACGGGCCCCACUAGGGUCUCCCCCUCCUGCUUUUGCCAGGAGAACCUUCCAGCAAGCAAUCUGGCGCUCUCUGCGCUGCCCAAAGCCCCUCCGAGGCAGCCCCUUCCUCACACCCCAGGGCAGGACCCCUGGCGGGAGGCUGGUCAACCACAUUCCCUGCCACACCCUUCUGUCGUGUUUCCUCUGUACCGUCCCCCACUCUAGGUCAACCCACCCAGCUGUUGGGGGCUGGCUCCUGUGCGGCCGCCCCACCCCUGCAGCCUGCGUCAGCUGCCCCCUGUCCAGGGGCCAGGUGGGAAUGUCCCCAUCGCGGGCACCAGCACAGUCUCUUGCUCCAAAGGGGCUGCCCCUUUCUAGAGCCGGGGUUCAGGUUCUGGAGGGGAUGGAAUGUCCCUUGUUCAGCAAGGCUGUCCCUGACACCCCCAGUCUCACCGCCCCUCAUCCUAGUCGCCCUCUGUUGGUACCCUGUUCCGGCUUCCCUCCUUCUCCACUGCUGUCUGAAAUUACCUGCUGUUAAUGUCUGCUUUCUCCACCCCACCCCCCCAAGAUUUCUCAGGGCAGGGAUUUUUUUUCUGUCCUGUUCCCUGCUCUGUCCCCAGCCCUGGGACCCAGGCCAGGUCCCUAAUAGAGGAAUGAUGAGUGUUUGUUGAUUGACUAACAGAUUCCCUCAGGGCAGGGACCUUUCUCAAGUUAAUGCCCAGAAAAGUGUGGGGCACAAAAGAGGUACUGAGGAAGAGGAAGACGUGGUCACACAGCACAUGAAUAUGGCAAAUUGGCUUUUAGAAAUUCUUCACAGUUGUUAAACACUAUUUGGUUUUCUGGCUUUUUCUGCCCCUUCCAGAUGUCGUUGGGGAGAGUUGAGGUUUGCUGCCACAGGGUCAGGACAGCUGGGUCUGGGCUCUCCUCUCCACUUUCCAAGGGGCUCCCCAGACCCCCAAAAGGAGUGAUGAGCCCCAAGAUAAUCCUGCAGCCACCAGCUGAACACCCCUCCCCCCAUAGCACACUGCAGUGCUCAGAGCCAGGUGCUCCGGGGAGCUCCGGCGGCAACAGGCUGGCGUGUGGUGUCGGGGCUAAUAUUUUAUGCAUGGAACUGACUAAAUGGGGACAUUUGGAGAUGAAAAUUGCUGUUAAUGCAUCCACACAUCUUUGGAAUAUAUUAAAUGUUUGUAGGGGGUGGGAGGCGACAUUAGCCUUAUUUAAUAGCUCCAAUGUAACCAUCCCCACACCCCAGCUUGAAGAGCCUGGGUGCCCCCCAGGCCGCCGCUUGGGGGACGCAUUGGGUAGAUCAGCCACCGCUUGAGAAUUAUGCAUGAGACAAAAUGUGAGCCUGGCGUACCAGGCGUUCAGCGGCAUAUGUUCCAAACUCAUUUUAGACCCAAAGACGGUGACCCCAUGCUGCUUGGUGCAGAAUUUCAUUAAAAGCCAAAUUACUGGUUUAUCUAUUGUUUGAGCAGAAGAGAGAAUAAACAAAGGGCCAAAUGAAAAUGUCUGUCCCCGCAGCGGCUGGGAUGACAGUCGCUGUGGACCCUCCGGCCAAAGGGUCAGUGACUUGGGCUCGUCUCCAAGGUGCUGUGUUAACCCAGUCGUGGGUCUGAGCCCACGGGGCACCUGCUGUCUCCUGGGGCCCAUAGGGGCAAGGACCCCGGCUCCCCCAUCGGUCUCCCGGAUGCAAUCCCGCGAAAGCCACUUUGAAAACUGAGGCACUUUAUAGCGUCUGGACCUGUAGUCUCCUCGCCUUACCACUUUUGGGGGGGCUAAGCAGGGAAAUACUAGCCAUCCUGAAUAAGCUUGAGCCCCUGCCUGUCCCUCCGGCUCUAGAAUGUUUUUCUCAUUGCACCCCCCAGCCUGGGGGGGGGGCAGACUCUGUUUUAUGGUGAGGGUGUGGGGCACAGAGAGGUGGAGAGACUCCUUCGAGACCACACAGCGGGCACUCCGCCAGCUGAAAGUCACAGGCCUGUAGAACGGUCCCCGGCCCAAAUUCUCUGCAUGACGAGGUGGGCCUCCUCUCCGAACACUCAGCUUGCCAUACUUCCAGAGGGAUUUUCCCUGCGCCCACCUGGCAUCUCUCCAGGGUGGUGCCAACCCCACGAAAUGGGAUGCUUGCAGCUGGGUGCGAGUCCCGUGGCCCCCAGCUCCUGUCUGGCCCGCGGAGAGGGCUGCCUGCUCUGUCAGAAGACCCAGGGCCCAGGGGAGAGCUAAGUACCGAAGACCCCCUUUGACUCAUGUCUCUCACUGCCACCCUGGAGCGCAUUUGCGGGUUGUGUGUGGGUCUAGUCAGGACAGCUGGCAAGCAAGAGCGGGGAGCUCAGGCAAGCCGGCAGGUCUCGACGGGCAGGGCCAGGCACCAGCCCCGCUCCCCCAGCCUCCCCCCUUGUCCUGCUCGGGCACUGCCCUUAUUUGUGUCCCACCCCGCACAAAGUUCAGGGUCAGGACCCACCUCUGGCAAAUAAGUAGUUUCCUUUGCAAAACUGGGGUGACCCAGCACCCCAAGGCUGCAGAAAUACCAAGCGGGAUUCAAUACCUCCAUACCUGGGGGAGUGAUGCUGCUACCCUGGCAUGGAGCUUCUAGAAGCCAGGACCUUGAGCCUGCAGUGUUGGCUCUCAGGAGGUGCUCCGUCAAUGCCUGGGUCUAGGCUGGCCACAGACACCAGUGCAAGGAGGGUGUGCAACACGCGAGGGUGUACUGGAAUCAGAUCUCUUUGCUGCCGGGAGGAAGCACACAGGAGGGGCUGGGAGGACGUUUGUGGAAUGAAUAAAUAAAACCAUGCUCUUUGAGGGAAUAAAGAAGCAGAGAGAAAAAGGAGAAUCUGGGGAAGAUGGACAUCAAUCUCCACCAAGCGCCACCAAGAUUUUGCAGCCAAGGCGGCAGAAAAAACCCCGUGGAGGCAAAGGGGCCGUAUGUCACGGGCGGGGACCAGGAAGCAAGGGUGCGAUGGAGGCUCGUUCGUCAUUUUCCCAUUAGCCCCACGAUGUCGGAGGGGAGCCUGCGCCCGUGUAGCUGUGCUAUCCCCCUGGCAGAGCACACGGGACGGAGCAUUCGGCAGGUGCCCAGUAUGUGGAACCUUUGGUCGAUCGCAGCCAGAAGCCAAGGGCUGGGCCGAAGGCAGCUCACCAGACCACUACCGCCCCAGAGAUGUGGGCUGUGAGCCAGGGAUCCCGGGCUGACCCUAGGGGCAUUCCUUGGGUCAGGGGCCUCUGCUGUCGGUGAAGCCGCCCCGGAACAUCAACAUCUUCCUCCCCGCACUCGUCUGCCUCACAGGACUCCUAGAAGGUCCUGCUCUUGGAGAAGACCCAUGGCACCCAUGCUUCAGCGGACAGAUGCACAGACACACAGCCUGCCCCACCAGCGCCCUCUCCUGCCUCCCCCAGGAAGAAGGGGAGGUCGUGCACUCCCCACCCUUUAAAGGACCCCGAGUGGGAGGGCGGGGGUCGGCGGAUCCAUCGGGGACAGGCCUGCACUGUGGACUGGGGAGGCCUGGGUGGGCCUGCAGAGAACUGGGAGUGGCAAUGAACUCAAACCAGAGCCAAAGACCCCAGCCCCCUCCCCCCCCAGGGGCUCAGGAAUUCCUGCUCUUCCUUUGCAAACACUUGGCAUGUCGUUGGGCUAUU